rnacentral:lncRNA from 1 species
GCACAUUACUCGUAUGUCUUGUUUAUAAGCAAAUGAAGCAACUGGGGCUGAAAGAAGCUAAGUCACUUGCUGAUGAUUACCCAGAACACCUGGAGCUGAACCCCCGUCUCUUGGGCCCCAAAACCAUGGUCUUUCCACAGCACCGUGCUGUCUCAGAGCUGCACCUUCUGCCUUGUUUGCAGAACUUUUUCUUCAGCCUUUAAAGGUGUUUGAUUUCUUCCCCCACCGUGGCCCACCUGCACAGGAGUUCCUCUUUGAGGGCAACAAGCAUGGAGGCUGAGAGUUAAUGAUUAGACCCACAUUCUUGCACAAAAGGAAACCAAAUCAGAACCAGACUAACCAGAGGAGGCUGAAGAAAAUUAAUAGGUGGCAGAAAACCUUAUAAAAAGAAAACAAGGGAACUUUGCUGCAGAACAACAGCCCUUCGAAUGUCCGAGUGGGAAGAGACAGAGAGCAUCCUGUCCAACCCCUCCUAGCCGAAACAGAAAAUGACCGUCUGUUGGUUACAGAUCUGAGGAUAAGCCCCGCCAAGGACGCCGGAUGUGUGCUCACGGACUGUCUGGGCCCGCUGCAUCGAAGGCUUCCCCACCUGGGAUUCCCUCUCAGGUGCUUAAAACCGUGGCUCCUGCCACCACCCCCACAAAGAGGCCAACAGCAGUGCCUGUGCUUGUACGCCUAAAGUGCUUUUUCUCAAAGCUGCAUAUCUUGUCAAAAUUGUUUGCCCACAUCACUGCAAUCUGUGUGCAGGGAAGCCUGAAACAAGUCCGCGUUUGGAAAGCAAUGGAAAGUACAAGAGGUUCUGAAAUUCAUAAGCCUGGGAAAGCAAUGAUUCAGAGAGAAGCUGUCUUCUCAGUUCUUCCAAAUUGAAAGCACUCAAGGCCAUAGAGCAGCUGCUGCUUGCCUAGGCUGGUUCCUAUUGACCUG